UCGCACGAGAAAGCGGAGCAUCCAUGAGUAAAGUGGCGUACGGGUGAGUAACACGUGGAUUAUCUACCUUCUAGUGGGGAAUACCUCCGGGAAACUGGAGACAAUACCGCAUAAGCUCGUAAGAGGAAAGCAGCAAUGCGCUGGAAGAGGAGUCCGCGGCUGAUUAGCUAGUUGGCGGGGUAACGGCCCACCAAGGCGAAGAUCGGUAGCCGGCCUGAGAGGGCACACGGCCACACUGGCACUGAAACACGGGCCAGACUCCUACGGGAGGCAGCAGUGGGGAAUCUUGCACAAUGGAGGAAACUCUGAUGCAGCGACGCCGCGUGAGCGAUGAAGCCCCUCGGGGUGUAAAGCUCUUUCGACGGGAAAGAUAAUGACGGUACCCGAAGAAGAAGCUGCGGCUAACUACGUGCCAGCAGCCGCGGUAAUACGUAGGCAGCAAGCGUUGUUCGGAAUUACUGGGCGUAAAGAGUGUGUAGGCGGUGCUCUAAGUUUGUCGUGAAAUCUCCCGGCUUAACUGGGAGGGUGCGGCGAAAACUGGAGUGCUAGAGGGUGGGAGAGGAAAGCGGAAUUCCUGGUGUAGCGGUGAAAUGCGUAGAUAUCAGGAGGAACACCUGCGGUGUAGACAGCUUUCUGGACCACUUCUGACGCUGAGACACGAAAGCGUGGGUAGCAAACAGGAUUAGAUACCCUGGUAGUCCACGCCCUAAACGAUGCAUACUUGGUGUGAGCGAUUCAUUUCGUUCGUGCCGGAGCUAACGCGUUAAGUAUGCCGCCUGGGGAGUACGGU
rnacentral:rRNA from 1 species